UACGAAGGGGGCUAGCGUUGUUCGGAAUUACUGGGCGUAAAGCGCACGUAGGCGGUGUUCUUUGUCAGAGGUGAAAGCCCGGGGCUCAACUCCGGAAUUGCCUUUGAAACGGGAACGCUAGAGUCCGAGAGAGGAUGGCGGAAUUCCUAGUGUAGAGGUGAAAUUCGUAGAUAUUAGGAAGAACACCAGUGGCGAAGGCGGCCAUCUGGCUCGGUACUGACGCUCAGGUGCGAAAGCGUGGGGAGCAAACAGGG
rnacentral:rRNA from 1 species